ACCCUGUACAUUUUAAAGACCAGACUAUCGACACCCAGCGGUUCAAAUAUAUUAAGGUUCUAGGCAGGUUAGACUUCUUUGCCCUUCUCUACACCAUCUCACUUUGCAAAACCCAGAUCUUUACUUCGUAGGCUUUGUUUGUGCCGUUCGAAAGGCAUUUCACUCAAACGUAACGACCUAUGGUUAGGGUUCUAGAGAUUGUUUUCCCUAUUCCUAUAUCUCAAGAAAUAAAGAGAUGGAUCCAGACUCAAUUAAAUCGACUCUGUCCAAUUUAGCAUUUGGAAAUGUAAUGGCAGCAGCAGCUCGUAAUUAUCAAAAGGAAUUGUUAUCUCAAGAAAGGGUACAGGAAUCUACCUCUGUUAAUGAGGAGGUUGAUCUUAAUGAGCUGAUGAACACCGAAAAUUUGGGGCGAUUUCAUUUCGGUGGUAAUUGGGAUUUUCAUUCCAAUUGAGGUACAGGACUCAGGAUUUGAAGAUUCCAUUGCUCCUUGGAUGGCUUACAGUUUCUAAGUUUCUAUUUUAUACAAGUGUUAGCAUAAGAUGCCUCUUUGUAGCCCUAUUUGUUUAAACUUGUAUUCGUUGAUUCGUAUAUGUAAAGUGUACGUAAGUGCACUCUUUUCAAUGUAUUUAACAUGUAUGAGAUGAGUCCGGAGGCCAAUGACAUGUAUCUCGUUUUCUAUGCACUUUUGUUUUUAAAGUUUU